CUUUACCAAAAUUUUAAUUCCUUCAGUUUUAAGGGUGGGCAGUUUGGGCUGGUGGCAGGUUGGGCAGUUGUGAGUGUCUGUGUGAUGGUGAGGAAAGCGGAAGUUACGAAUGGAAUGCAGGUAGCUUAGGACCGAGGCAGACAGCUUAGGACUGAGGCAGACAGCUUAGGACUGAGGCAGGUAGGCAGUUGGUAGGAAUCAGUGGGGGCACUUGUCAUUUCGGCCAUGGGAUUCAAAAUUUGCAUGUCGAG